GUGUGUAAGUAACGUAUCGCGAGUUCCCUGAACCAUCAAAGCAAACCCCUACCCAACCCUUCCCUCUCCCCUGCACCAGACAAAGUGCGGUUAUUUAGUUUGCCCUCUGGUAUGUAGCCCAAGCCCGAAAUCUGUCUAUUCCCUGUCUUUUCCGAAGGGAUGGCUGUGGUGCAGCUGGCUGCAGGUCUGCACGCUCCCUCCUUCUGCAGCUGCGGCUUGGGAGGGCGAGCAGCCAGUCCCACCUUAGCAUAAACCUCCUUCCUUUCUUCAUUACUUUAUUUUGAUCAACUCAACCGUGCUACAAGUGUUCUUGUCCUGUGAUGAUAAUUUCAUCGACGGCUUAUGUAAGGGUUGGGUAACACAUACAUACAAACAGCAGAACAUAUGGUUGUUGCAAGAUAGCAAUGUGCGCCUACUUCAUAAAGCAUUACAAUGACUUGUAUUAUAUUCCAGUUAUAGUUGGUAGAUGAUUUACAAGCCAUCCCAAACUGUCAAAAAUAUUGUAAUGUCCCCUACAAUUUCGUCAAAAGCUUGCUAAUUUGAUCAAAAAAAAAAUUAGAUUGAUCAGGGGGGAACCUAUUCCUAUUGUUAGAGGGAGCUAUGGACCCAGGUUUGCAUUCCUCUCAAAAUUGACCUUUGGAGCAUUCAAUGACUUUAGAAUCAAGCUCUGUGACUUGGAUUGAUUUCUGAAAGUUUGGCCUUUACUGACACUGGGUGCCACAAAACCUGAACUUUAAGGGGCCAAGUCCCUGGGGUGUGCUCCUUAUGCGGUAAGGAUGCUGUAUGGGCAGCAUCCUGAGCAAGAAGCACUGAGCAAGGGAAUGAGAAGUGAUGAAGGAAAGGGAUGUUUCCCAGAUCCCACCUUCUUAGAAAGGUAAGUGCUAUUUUGAGAUGGGCAUUCUCAUUUCAGACUGCUCUCUUGAGGUUUACACUGAAGCUGUCUUUCCUAACAGAGGGCACUGGUGUGCCUGUCCCUCUGGCACAUCAGGGCUCAAUCAUUUGGACGGGAAGUGGGUCGGCCUGAGUGCUAGACUUGCCUCCCUGAAGAAGAGCCCAGCUGGCAUCUCCCACCUGCUAGGAGUUUGCUCUGUACCCCUGUGUUGCAAAGUGUCCUUCAAACUUCUGUUUCGGAGAGGAAGACCAAGGAAUUGGAGACCUGCCACCUUCCUUUGAUGGGGCAGGCGAUGCUCAUUUCUGACUGGAGGCCCUGUCCAUGCAGUGAGAACCAGCGGGAUGUCUGGUGUUGGGGCACCGAUGCACUCUGCUUCCGUGGAGGAGCUCCGUGGUGCUUUUGAGACAGUACUGCUUUUAAAAGAAUUCAGGACUUUUUGGAGGAGGGGUCCUGGGCCACAGAGAGGUGUCACAGCCUGAUAGCACAUUCACUGGAUGCUGACUUCUGGUCCAAGGACUACUACUAGAUGGUAGGUAGGUCAUGAAACUCAGGCCUCCAACAUUAUAGCCGAGUAAGGUAUACGCUGGGAUUUUUUUUUCCUCUUGCAUUUCUAAGGGAAAGCAGCCACAGUGAGUGUUUUUCUCCAGAGCUCAAAAGCUUGCUAUGGCAACUGAGUCCUGGAGUGUAUUUUCCAAAUCCAGCCGCUCACAAGGUAUGGUUCUGGGAAAGAGAACCACCACCAAAAAAACACCAGGUGGGGUUCCAGAGGUAGGUCUAACUUGGGACAGUUUUUAUGAGUGCAGAAGUGUGCACUCCUUUCACAAAAUUACUCUUGUGAUAGGAUAAAUCACUCUCUGUUGUAAGCAUUAUUUUAAAUGGAGCCAUGACCUCUGCUCCUCUAGAGCUGUCCCAGAGGAAAGUGUUACCCACCCCAUGUCCACAUGUGCAUCCAGAUGCUUUUUGGCACGUGAUUUUUACAAUACUGUCUCUGAGACCAGGAAUGCUUACGUGAAUGCUUGAGCUUAUUGAACCUCCUUGCAUCAAAAUUGGAGGGUCAGGAUAAACUGUAGGCCUUUGCUAGCCAGGCUCAUUCAGCUGAGCUCACCUUAUCACCCAGUGCAACCUUUGCAAAGUGCAUGUCUGUGCUCACCAGCCUAACUACUUCAGUGGACUGAUGUCCAUGGUCUAACUUGCACAAGCCGCCUCUGGGGGUACUGUGUGUGCACAGACUGCCUUUUCCAAAAAUCACGUUGAAGGUGUGUUAAAACAUCCCUUCCAAGGCGCAUAAGAAUAAACCUGUUUGAGAAAGCCACAUACAAGAAGAAAAGCAUGACUUUUUCAGUCUGAAGUGAAGCUAUUUUUGAUAACGAGUGGGGUACCACAGUACAAAGAUAAUUGGCAUGUUAGAAAUACCAGGUUCUCUAGACCUAUUUAUACAUUUAGUAGCAAAUUUAAUUUGUGCACAAUGUGCACAACCUAAGGUGAAUGUUUUUUUCCAGUUACUUAUGUCCUUUUGAUCUGUGCUUAGCAGAACUACAGAUGGUUACAUGUGCUAUAGUAGUCCUGUCUGCUGGAGGAUAUGUGGAAAUGUUAAACAAAUUGACUUUGCCGUUUGAAACUUUUUUCUUUGAUGGGGAACCAGUGGUUGACAAGAGGAAAUAGCAAAGUUGAAAGGAAAACCAAAAAGGCAUAUUCUGGAAGCUUGCUUCUAUGACUGUUUUUUCAAUCAUUUCUCUCUCCCAGUUCUCUUCCAACCAACCAACCAGCUCUACCUAAGUGCAAGCAAAUGGGUAUUUUUCAGAGGUCACAGACUUACGUAAGCGGUUGGAUGACAAGUGGUAAUAGGAGUGGUAGAGCAUGAUGGCUUUUUCACCCAGUGCACCAAGAGCUAGAAGAGAGACUCAUCAGUUGUGGGUGUUCGGAGACAACAUGGAAUUUGGGGAACCCAUUAACUCAGUUAAGUGGAGAGGCUGGCUUGAAAGACAUUGAAGAAGGUGGAGGGAGUUUGAACAAAAAUGAAAGCUCAGCAAUUUUCCAGUCUGAGAAAUGAGAUUGGAGAAGCAGUGCCUCUGCGUACCUGCCUUCCAAGUUAAGCCAAGUGUGGAAGCCUCAUGUUGUCUUGGGUUUACUUUAACGAGUGUGAGGGCAGUCCUGCUACAAUGCAAGCGUGCGGCCAGCAAGACAUGAAGAGCCAGUCUGAAAGACCACAGACCUUGAGCUAAAGCUGGGCUCCUGAGUGGCUUGCCAAGUCAAGCUUAAAAAUAUCUUUGCGAGUGAAUUGAAAACUUCACCUGGAAUUUGAGUUAGAGGCAAGAUUUGUAUUAUACCGAGAGUUAACUCUGCAGGAAUAACUGGUCCUGAGUCACCAGCGUGAGUCACCAGGCCAGUUCUUGAGUGGCCUCAGCAUAGUUCUUGCCUGGUUUAGUGACAAAACCAAGUUUCUUAUUGUCACUGAUACUUGUUACAGCUGCAGAACCAAGGCAGCUAUUGGAAGAAAAAGUAAAUGCAUUUGUCUCGUUUAAUUUUGACAGGCAUGUUUUCUGACUGUUAGGAUCAGUCACGUAAUGCUGUUAUGCAAAGCUCAGCAAAGACGUAGUCUGGAGGUAAUGCUUCUGCGCUCCUGUAGUUGAGAACGGAGAUCAUUAUUACCAGUGGUCAUGGAUAUGACUAUCAGAUCCCAACAGUUAGGCAGAUUUGCUGUAGCCUGUGAGCACCCUUGCUGUGCACCGAGACUUUGGAGAAACAAGAAAUGUGCAGUCUUUAUAAAUGCUUUUUUCUUUCCUUCCCAGAGUCCCUUUUCAGAAGAGAAUUGUGCUUCAAAAGAGGAAGCAGUUGUAGUAUUCGAGAAGGACUUGGAAUAUGAAUUUAAUAAUCCUUCUGCUUAGAAAGAGUGUCUGGCAGAAAAAAAGUAGAGGGAGUUUGAACACAUUUCACUGAGAGCCAUAGUUAAGACUGGAAAUUGGAUAAAGACAGUACAAAUUCUUUACAAAAGACUAAUACUGCAUCUGGAUAGCAAGGCCUGUUUUGGUGCCAGGCCCUAACCUUCAGUCUGUUGUAAAUUUAGCCCGAUUCUCAGAAAUACUAAGUACUUGUGCUUCCCAUUGGUCGUUUUUCAGGAGCCUGAGUGUUUUACUUGUUGAGGGCCACCUUUGCUAAUUGAAAUGUAAAAGCUUUACACUAACAUGAGUGUCACCUUCCUUGAAGAACAGCGUUCCUUGGAUAGGUGUAGGUCCACACUUGCCUCUCUAUGAAGAACCUAAUGUUGUUUGCUUGCAUCGUUCCAGGGUAGGUGCCAACAUUACCGAGUUAACGCAAAACCAAAUUCGUAUAUGGCAGUGGGAAAGUGGCAGAGAUUUGUGACCGCCUAAAAUCAUGGUUUGAGCAGUGUGUGUGACUGCGGGACAGGAUGUGCAGAAGCAGAUGCCCUCAGCAAAGAUGAAACGGUGUCUCUGCGGAUCAGUUGAGGUGCGGAUGGUCAGCGCAUGCAACCUGCCAGUUGUUUUGGAUGUCAGAGUUGUGGCAUGCAUGGUGUUUGUGUGUGCGUUGAAAGUUUCCUGAGAUCUUCAGUAAGCUAGUGGUGUGCAUAUGGGUGGUAGAGCUGAUCUGAUAGUCGUUUGUCUCUCAGAGAAAUUACGGCAGUCUAGUUAAGUCAAAACUGGAAUCUGUAUCAUUACUCCAACUUACAGUACCUUUAGGUGAGGCUGGUGGCAACAGCCAUUUAUUAAGAAUACUUAACAUUUUCCAUUGCUAGACCCAUGCUAGAUCCAAUUCAGGCCAAACAUUUAUUGGAAAACUUUGGUCAAAAUGGUUAUGCCAGCUCCAAGGGCAAGACCAAGAAAAAUACAUUGCUUCGCCCACAUUAGAAAUUCUUGUGACCUUUCCUUUGGCAUACCCCAGCAUCCCAGCACCAAGACAAGAAUUCAGGAGAUGGGUUUCUGUCUCUGAGGUGGGGCUGGGGAAGGAGGAGGGGGUGCCCUUCCCAUCAAAAUCCACCCACCUCUGUCCAAUUCUAAGCCUUUGAAUCAUAGCUUGCCUAUGCUAGCUAGGGACUUAGUCCUGCCUAGCAGCUAGAACCGCCAGUGAGGAUAUAUCUUCAUGGAGAAGACUUCAGCUUUCCGCAUUUGCUGCAUGGGCUGAGCACCUGCAGUCCCCCGACCUACAGGAGUGCUGGGAGCGAUGUUCCCAGCUGCUCUGGGGCACGGCGGGGGCAGCUGCCGGACCACCGGUGCAGGGCGGGCAAGCGGAGUGGAGGAGGGAGCAGCCCGCUUGGAUGUGGAGAGGGAAGGAGCUGCAGGAGGAAAAGAUACCGUCCUUGGGUCUGACACAUACACACGGGGGGAGCUGAGGGCUUACACAUCCAACAUGAAGUCCUCCUCACUAUUUUUUUGCAUGCUUGGAUUUUUCAAGUUCCUCAUUCAACUUAAGGUGGCUUUGAGGUUUUUUGUUGUUGCUGCUGUUGUUUGUUCACUCUAUAUGCUGUCGGACCCCUUAAAGACCCACACUAAACUGGGACCUCUCUUUUACUGGGUGCUGCUAAAAUGCUCUUCCAUGCCUCAGUGAGCUUGCGGGAUAACUAGACAAAACAAGGAAGGUGGCCAUGUCGGAACUGCAACUGGAAUGUGGCUGUUGCUGGCUCCUACUGGAGUGAUUAAACGGGAACAGGGCCACAUAACUCCUCCCUCCCUUGAAAAACAAAAACUGUGGGCACUCGUACAGAAAACAACCCCUGUCUCUGUUUGUCCUUGUCUUGCUGCAGUUUUUUUCUGUGAAAUCAGGAUUUUUUUUUUUUUUGCAGUAUCAUAAGUUAACAUAGGCGUGAGGUUCAAAAUGGAGUAGUCUUUAUUGAAACGAGGAAUGGGCAAAUGUCCUGUCUGCCUGGAAAUCUCCUUAAGCAGAGGUGUAAAUAAAAAGCCAUUUGUAAGUGCAGUAGAACAGAACGACUGGUUGCUAAAAAGAGCUUUUUUAAGGUUUUCAUUAAGUGACAGCUGUGAUUUAUCCUGUUUUUUAUCUUUUUGAGACAAUUUGGAGUCAAGUACAGAAUCACUGGACAUUAAGAUUUCAGAGGGAAGCCUGCAAGAACAUCCGUCUUCAUCACAGCGUCCAGUAAUUUUUAAUCACCUAGGGAUAAUUUUAAAACAGGCUGCAGGUUUCUGAAACAUUCAUGUGAGCAAGUCCUUCAGUUUGCUGGCUGCUGAGGGUAGGAAAGUCCUCCAGUUCACAGGACAGUCAGACCAAGGGGCAGGGUGAGAGUGAAAACGCUGUUGACACCUUCUCAGACAUGGUCUUCAAUGAGUAAAAACAUUAAAUAACUAGCGUUUGAAGUUCCCGGAGGGACAUGCUGGUGGAGUGUUUCACUUCAGACACUCUCUUACGAGUUCAGCUUGACUGGAAAUGUUUAAUAUCCAAGAAAAAGAAAAAAAGUUCAAAGGAUUUUUUUUUUUCUCCUCUUGAAAAUAUUAAAUUCAGGGAGUGUGAUUCCAAGGGGAACGAAGGAGGCAAAUGGAAAACUUUUUGGCGGCAGGAGCUGGGGUUUUGCGUUCAGCUCAAUGGCUUUUUUUGGUCUGCGUGCAACAUGAUAUCCUGUGAGCGCCAGGCUUGGUUCACUCUGAAAUUUCAGGGAAAGUUUCAGAACCCUUUUAACUUUGGGAGAUCGUCAGCAGGUAGUGCUCAUCACAGGCUAGUGUGGAAAGCAGAAGAGAAAUAAAACCUGCGCCUGCACCCUUGAGUCCUGCCACCUUGGGCCACCUGCACUAGGGUCCAGGAGGUCUGCAGCCACUUCUCCUUGCCCCCAGGAUGGGGCACGGGUCCUGCCUGGAUCCUCCGAGCGAUACUCCCAGGAAAGUUUUCUAAGCGGUAAAUGGAAAUGACAUAAACGGAAAGGCGAUCCCCUGGCAAGACAGAUCCAAAGCCUUCUGCUGUCUCUGCUCAAAUUGAAUAGCACCUCAGUGUAAUAAUCUUCAUAUUGGAGAUCAAUGAGGCUGUUUAAAUAAAUGAAGCAUUCAGGUGUAGAAGGAAGUAAGGGAAGAGAGAUGGCAUUGGAAUCAAAAGACUAAAAUUCAAGCCUCCUUGAGCCCCAAGGAAUGGAUAAAUCCAUUAAGCUGUGAAGAAAUAAGAGCUAGAAAGAGUCUGUCAGAUCCAUUCUAAAAUUUAUUACAAAAUAAAACUUUGUUAGGGGCCAGAAAGCAAAGUGAAAGAAACAGCAAUGUAGCAGGAGGGUACGGCUCUCCUAGCAUGGCAUUUGGUACAUAUGUGGUGCAUCUGUAGGUGUCUCUGUUGGGAAGUUCGACACACCAGUAAUUCCUUCUUCCAAAGUAAAAAUGGAUGGUUUACUUCUAAUUUACUGCAGUGUCUUUGGAGGUGGCUGGGUUUUGUGCCAGCCCCUCAAGAAAAAAAAAAAAAAGAAAUAGUUCAAAUAUACGCCAACAGGAAUUAACAAGAUUUUGGCUGUCUCUAUAAUGUAUGAAUGUGUGUGUGUGUGUAUAUAUAUAUAUAUGUGCAUUUCAUUUUGCCCUGCAGGGAUGUAAUUCCAACUAGAUAUAAUAGGACAUAAUACACACACUUAAACUAGAGCAGUAGAAGGAAUAUGUAGCAGAAUUAUUCUGCUGGCUGUUUUUGGAAAUGUUUUAGCCAUCUCCAUGAUGCCAGUGUGACUGUGUUCCUAUGGGAACAAGCUGCCUCAAAGCAAGAGGCUUCUAUAGCGAGAGUAGGUGAAUCCUGGCUAAAAACUUGGGGUUUAGCACAAAACUAAAUAUUCUGUAAAUGUCAAGUAUUCUGCAAUAUUCUGAUUAAAUUUACUCAUUUUCAAAACUAAUUGAAAGAGUUCUUUUCUACUCUGCCAAUGAGGCAAGAUGCAAUCAGCCACAUUCAAACCAUUGUUAGGACUAACUAGUGGAUCCUCAGUAGUAAAAGCUUGUUCGCGCCUUCCUUGCAACCAUAGUGUUACUUCCCAGAGCUGCACCCUAAUGAUGAUACCCCUUUUGAAAAGCACCACACUGCAGGAGUAAUCCCAUAGGCUUUAAUGGGACUACUGCUGGAUUAAAGUACUAUUCUUUGUGAGGGAGCAUAUUAGAAUCUGGCUUUAAGUUAACGUUUGCCUUAAAUGCAUCUCUCCUCUGAGAAGCAAGGUCUUGUGUUGUGUAUUGUAAGAGUUUUAUGUUGCGUUAACGUUGACUUGCAGCAGGAGCAACGCUUAAUAGAAGAAAACCCUGGAACUUCAAAGCUCUCUCGAAUAUGCCUUGAAAAUAAGGGAUUCUGGGGAAGAAAAGCAUCGAUCUGACCAGUCGGUCAGAAACCAGAGCGAUUGCUGCAGAUAGCUGAAUACUUCUUUGAUUCAAUAUUCUGAGUGUUCAUUCCCUGAACUGAAGAUGAUCAAAUAUAUCUGUGCUUUAUUUUUAACUCCAAGCUGUUAAAAUUGCCGGCAAAGUAGCUGUUAUGCCCGUAAGUGAUACAAAGGAGGCAGAAUUUAACCUGCAGUUCUUUGCCAGCAGGUAAUGAAUGAAUGGACUGGAAGUUACGGGGAGGCUGGGACUCAAAUUUCGAGGCAAGAUUGUAAGUUGGGGAAAACAGGCAGUUAAAUGGAGUCAGAUGUGGUGUACAUCAAGGGUACAGAUGUAAAUGAAACCUCAAGUGUGGUCCCAUCACGUCCCAUCUGGUACUAUGAGUCCAGAAAUACAGGUUCUCUAGUGGAAAGAAAUGAAACCAGGGUUUCAGAGUCGUAUCUUCCAGUCCUGGUCUUAUCACUUCUGUAACCACUGCUAAAAUGUCUUCUCUAGCUCUAUUCUCAGCACUGUUUCAUCUAUAUCUUGUCUCUGCUGGUAUAGUCCUACCUUCUGUCACUGAUGCGCUAACAUCAGUACAACUCCCUUUGCACCUCGCUUGAGGUGCAGAGGGUGGCCAGUGUGAGACAUCCACGUGCUAAAGGCAUAGGGACCAUUUGUGUGUGCCAUUUCCCCUGUCAUCCUUAGGGCAGAUGAUGGUGAGAUGGCUCUAAGAAGAAAUCGUAAAGGUGCCUAAGACACCUUUUGAUUUAAGGCACCAGUAAAAACCUCCAGGAAAAAGUCUUGAUGGUGAUAUGGUAGGAUUGACACUUGGUGUUGAGAAACUUGAAGCACAUUUCAGGAGAGAUCUGCCUGGACUGAUUUAUGCGGUACUGGUGUUAGGGACAACCUCAGCAGCUCCUAAGUGGCCAUGAGGUCCCACCUCCAUGUACAGUUUCACCUGAGUGAUUGUUUAUUUUUGGGGGUAGAAAACAUGUUUGUGAGAAAAAGAAGUGAAGAAGAACAGGCUGUAAACAAAGGUUUAAAAAUUGCAGAACUUCAAUUAGUGUUGAAAUUCCUCUUUCUAAUUUCAAGAAAUUCCCCGGUUUAAAUUUUGUGCUGCUCUAAACAGCAAUGACAUGUUGUCACCUCUCCCUAUUUUUGUUCUUAAGAAGGUACAGGAAUUUUAAACUGACACCUAAUCAGCAUUUCAGUGGACCGAAUGUAAUAUCUGAUAAUAUAUUAUGAAGCAUACUGUGCCUUUGGAAACAAUCAUUGGCAGUUUCUGUCUUUAGAAAAACCCUUACAGCUCACAGGAGAACCACACAGUGAAAACACGGGUGUGUUAAUCCUUUGUAGGCUUGAUAAGAUGUGAAUUUGUUUGAAUAGCCAUCUGCUGGUCUUGAGCCUUUAGUAUUUGCUUGCCAACCAGAACAAGAUAGGUGAGGGAUAUGUUGCUUUUAUUGCUCUGUACGAAGCAUACUUGGACUACGGAGAAAAGCAGGAGGAUGAUGGCCCAUAAAGAUAAGAAGAUGACAAAUGCAGGUAGGGUCAUUUGUCCCAGAACUUCAAAUGCUCAAAUUCAGUAUGCGGUUGUUUCCAACGUGAGUAUUUUUAAAGGGCAUCGAGCCAAGUAAUUUUAGGCCAAAUGUGUGGCUAUUUAAGGAAAUAUAUUACAGAGCAUUAAGAGUGACUCCCAUGAAACAUCAUUUUAAUUGUGCCUGAAUCUGUGCAGUUUUGCCCCAAUUCAGAGCCAGAGGACAGCACACAGUGAGGCAGGACACUGUAAUGCUCAGUGCCAUGCAGACUGAGAGCCAAAGCUCUGAAAGGGGCAGAUCACGCUCAGGGAGGAUCUUUCUUUUCCCUCUCACCUUUGAAUAUUCGCUUGCAAGUGUUACAAAAUACAAAUGCAAUAGCCUUGUGUGGGUGAAACCUAGAAAGAGCAACUCCGCACAUGAAAUAUGCCAGCCCUGUUCACCAUGCGCAGGAUAAACCCUGUUUCAUGCCAGGGUGCCCCACUUUGAAUAGGGAAUUUCCUCUCCCCAAAUGACAGGGGCAUGGGUCAGCGUUGCCCCGAGGGCAAGUGUUUUUAGAGGCGAGGAAGUGUGCAGGUGGAAGAGAAAUGGUUUGCAAGAGAAGCAGGACUGAGUUUUCCUGUGAAUGUGCCAGGAUGGUGCUAUGCCAAACGACUUCAGCAUGGGGUUUGCUGGUUUUCCACCCGCCAUGUGGACAAAGAGCCUUUCCCCUGGACAUGGAUGUGGUCCCUGACCUGGGCAGUGCUCCCUGCUCAUCCCUCUGUCCUCCUGCAGCAUCUCCUCUGGAAGCAGGGCAGCCCUGAGUGCGCAGCCGAUGAUGAUUCCAGCAGGCUGUUUGAAGUCCAUCAAAGUGAUCUUUAACACAGUGUGACCAACUGAGAGGCUUUUUUUCUUUUGCAUUAGUGGCACAAGGAAGAAAGCACAUCGGAUGCAGGACAUGGCAACGCUUUGUCUUGUGCUGGAGCACGGGUACUUCAGCAGGACAGACUGCCAGAGGAACCUAAUCUCUGCCUUCACUCUUCCUGACCAGAGCUAAUGGAGCUGUUUUUCCAGUGAAUUUCCAGCUAGGCUAUUAAAAUAAACUUCUCCCUGAAAGCUUCUGCCUUGAAGCAGCCA